UNANNAUGCAGUCGAACGGUAGCAGGAAGNAAGCUUGCUUUCUUUGCUGACGAGUGGCGGACGGGUGAGUAAUGCUUGGGAAUCUGGCUUAUGGAGGGGGAUAACUGCGGGAAACUGCAGCUAAUACCGCGUAAAGUCUUUGGACUAAAGGGGGCGUUUGCUCUUGCCAUAAGAUGAGCCCAAGUGGGAUUAGGUAGUUGGUGGGGUAAUGGCUCACCAAGCCGUCGAUCUCUAGCUGGUCUGAGAGGAUGACCAGCCACACCGGGACUGAGACACGGCCCGGACUCCUACGGGAGGCAGCAGUGGGGAAUAUUGCGCAAUGGGGGGAACCCUGACGCAGCCAUGCCGCGUGAAUGAAGAAGGCCUUCGGGUUGUAAAGUUCUUUCGGUGAUGAGGAAGGCAGUUUGGUUAAUAGCCAAGCUGAUUGACGUUAGUCACAGAAGAAGCACCGGCUAACUCCGUGCCAGCAGCCGCGGUAAUACGGAGGGUGCGAGCGUUAAUCGGAAUAACUGGGCGUAAAGGGCACGCAGGCGGAUUUUUAAGUGAGGUGUGAAAGCCCUGGGCUUAACCUGGGAAUUGCAUUUCAGACUGGGAAUCUAGAGUACUUUAGGGAGGGGUAGAAUUCCACGUGUAGCGGUGAAAUGCGUAGAGAUGUGGAGGAAUACCGAAGGCGAAGGCAGCCCCUUGGGAAUGUACUGACGCUCAUGUGCGAAAGCGUGGGGAGCAAACAGGAUUAGAUACCCUGGUAGUCCACGCUGUAGACGCUGUCGAUUUGGGGGUUGGGGUUUAACUCUGACGCCCGUAGCUAACGUGAUAAAUCGACCGCCUGGGGAGUACGGCCGCAAGGUUAAAACUCAAAUGAAUUGACGGGGGCCCGCACAAGCGGUGGAGCAUGUGGUUUAAUUCGAUGCAACGCGAAGAACCUUACCUACUCUUGACAUCCAGAGAAUCCUGUAGAGAUACGGGAGUGCCUUCGGGAGCUUUGAGACAGGUGCUGCAUGGCUGUCGUCAGCUCGUGUUGUGAAAUGUUGGGUUAAGUCCCG
rnacentral:rRNA from 1 species